GCGGAAGUGGCGGAAUUUGGUAGACGCACCAGAUUUAGGUUCUGGCUAUUUAAAUAAAAUAUAGUACGAGUUCAAGUCUCGUCUUCCGCA
rnacentral:tRNA from 1 species